UACGGAGGGUGCCAGCGUUAUCCGGAUUCACUGGGUUUAAAGGGUGCGUAGGUGGGUUGGUAAGUCAGUGGUGAAAUCUCCAGGCUUAACUUGGAAACUGCCAUUGAUACUAUCAAUCUUGAAUACCGUGGAGGUCAGCGGAAUAUGUCAUGUAGCGGUGAAAUGCUUAGAUAUGACAUAGAACACCAAUUGCGAAGGCAGCUGGCUACGCGGAUAUUGACACUGAUGCACGAAAGCGUGGGGAUCAAACAGG
rnacentral:rRNA from 1 species